rnacentral:rRNA from 1 species
UACAGAGGGUGCAAGCGUUAAUCGGAAUCACUGGGCUUAAAGCGUUCGUAGGCGGACCUGCAGGCGCGUUGUGAAAGCCCCCCGGCUCAACUGGGGAGGGUCACGCGAUACUGAUCGACUCGAAGGCAGGAGAGGGUAGUGGAAUUCCCGGUGUAGUGGUGAAAUGCGUAGAUAUCGGGAGGAACACCAGUGGCGAAGGCGACUACCUGGCCUGUUCUUGACGCUGAGGCGCGAAAGCUAGGGGAGCAAACGGG